GGCUCAGGAUGAACGCUGGCGGCGUGCUUAACACAUGCAAGUCGAACGAUGAUGCCCACUUGUGGGUGGAUUAGUGGCGAACGGGUGAGUAACACGUGAGUAACCUGCCCUUGACUCUGGGAUAAGCCUGGGAAACUGGGUCUAAUACCGGAUAUGACUGACUAUCGCAUGGUGGUUGGUGGAAAGCUUUUGUGGUUUUGGAUGGACUCGCGGCCUAUCAGCUUGUUGGUGGGGUAAUGGCCUACCAAGGCGACGACGGGUAGCCGGCCUGAGAGGGUGACCGGCCACACUGGGACUGAGACACGGCCCAGACUCCUACGGGAGGCAGCAGUGGGGAAUAUUGCACAAUGGGCGCAAGCCUGAUGCAGCGACGCCGCGUGAGGGAUGACGGCCUUCGGGUUGUAAACCUCUUUCAGUAGGGAAGAAGCGAAAGUGACGGUACCUGCAGAAGAAGCGCCGGCUAACUACGUGCCAGCAGCCGCGGUAAUACGUAGGGCGCAAGCGUUAUCCGGAAUUAUUGGGCGUAAAGAGCUCGUAGGCGGUUUGUCGCGUCUGCCGUGAAAGUCCGGGGCUCAACUCCGGAUCUGCGGUGGGUACGGGCAGACUAGAGUGAUGUAGGGGAGACUGGAAUUCCUGGUGUAGCGGUGAAAUGCGCAGAUAUCAGGAGGAACACCGAUGGCGAAGGCAGGUCUCUGGGCAUUAACUGACGCUG
rnacentral:rRNA from 1 species